ACAAGGUCGCAUGUGGGUAAAAACGUGGUGUGUUAUGGAUGGGGCCUGGAAGUUGGAUUUAUCGUAAAAUUCCUCUUUUUGUACGGCACAACAUCGAUAUAUAAUAUAUCCAACAUUUAAAGGAGCUACAGUUUGAAUUUGGUGGAGAAUAUGGAAAAAGUUGAGUGAUCUUCAAGCCAUGAUUGGCUCACAUUGCUGCAGGAAAACACUUGCUGAGCAGAUUUAUUGUGGGCUAUCAAGACUAGAAUUCAGUAGGAGCUUGUUAAUGUAAAGCAGAUGAAUGAUGGGCAGACUGAUUAGUUUAGGAAGCUCGCUAAGUACAAAUGAAGCAGAUGAACUGUGGGAAACGAAGGCUGUUAUACAGAAGGUUGAGCAAUGAAUUGUGGGAAAUCAAGACUGAUUCAGUACCAACAGUAGCUGUAUGGUGCUAGUAGCUGUAUGGUGCUUGAAGCUUAGCAAAGUCAGAUUUUGAGAUAAUGCAAGUGAACUAUAGAAAGUCAAAUUUUGAUAUAGAAUUGUGUGGAAUAGACACUGAUUUAUUUGAAUCCUGCUACAUACGCUGUUGUUACCUGAAGCUUUGCAAACUGUGAUGUAUGGAAAUGAAGCAAAAGGAUUAUGGGAUUCUACUGUACACUGCAAAGACAUUUAUUGUACAUUCAUAAAAUUGGUGGUUAUGAAAAGAAGUCAGGUUUGUGUUUGUAAGUAACUUAGUGUUAGUCCGAUUAAAAUGCUGGCCCAAUUCUGGAAUUACAGUACUGUACUUAAAAUGCUGAGGAUUCUGGACAAUGAGUUGAUUAAUAAAACCAGAAAUGAGAAUGAGUAAAUUGAUGGUCCUAUUCUGGACUUGGUGUAAAUUGCGGGUCCUAUUUUGGACUUAGUUAAAAUUUUGUACUGAGAUUGUAAAUAGUGUAAAUUGUUGGUCCUAUUUUGGACUUAGUUAAAAUUUUGUACUGAGAUUGUAAAUAGUGUAAAUUGUUGGUCCUAUUUUGGACUUGGUUAAAGUAGUGUAAAUUGUUGGUCCUAUUCUGGACAUAGUGUAAAUUAUUGGUCCAAUUCUGGAUUUGGUUGAAAUUCUGGAAUAGUGUAAAUUAGUUGUCCUAUCUUGAACUUAGUGUGAAAUUAUGGACUUCUUGGACUUGGUGUAAAUUAUUGGUCUAAUUCUGGACUUAGUGUAAAUGUAAAUGGUUGAGUCCUAUUCUGGACUCAGUUAAAAUUCUGGACU